rnacentral:lncRNA from 1 species
GAUUUAGUCACCUAUGAUGGCCUGCAUGUGAACUUCACUCAGGAAGAGUGGGCUUUACUGGAUCCUUCUCAGAAGAAUCUCUACAAAGAUGUGAUGCUAGAGACCUAUAGGAAUCUCUCAGCUAUAGGUUACAUUUGGGAAGGACAUACAAGUGAAGACUAUUUUCAAACUUCUAGAAGUCAUGGAAGGCAUGAAAGAAAUUGUACUGCAGUGCAACACUCUGAGUUUAUUCAAUGUGGUAAAGCCUUUGCAUAUCAGAGUCUUAGACAAAGGCAUGAAAGAACACAUAAUGGAGAGAAAGACUAUUGCUGUAACCAAUGUGGUAAAAACUUUAUAAUAAGCAGUCAUCUCCAAAUACAUAAACGAAGAAAUACAGGAGACAAACCCUAUGAAUGUAACCAAUGUGGUAAAGCCUUUGCAGGAAGUGGUGACUUCCAAAAACAUAAACGAAGACAAAGAGGAGAGAAACCCUAUGAAUGUAACCAAUGUGGUAAAACCUUUGCUGUAAGAAGUGACCUCCAAAUACAUAAGCGAACACAUACAGGAGAGAAACCCUAUGAUUGUAAACAGUGUGGUAAAGCUUUUAUAAGAAGGGGAGACCUCCAAAUACAUAAGCGAAUACAUAGAGGAGAGAAACCCUAUGAAUGUAACACUAUGGUAAAGCCUUUGUAAUAAGCUGUCAUCUCCGAAUACAUAAGGGAACACAUACAGGAGAUAAACCCUAUGAAUGUAACCAAUGUGGUAAAGCUUUUAUAAGAAGUGCGGACCUCCAAACACAUAAGCGAAUACAUACAGGAGCGAAACCCUAUGAAUGUAAACAAUGUGGUAAAGCCUUUACAAAAAGCAGUAAUCUCCAAAUACAUGAGCGAACACAUACAGGAGAGAAAGCCUAUGAAUGUAACCAAUGUGGUAAAACUUUUAUAAGAAGUGGUCACCUCCGAAUACAUAAGCGAACACAUACAGGAGAGAAACCCUAUGAAUGUAACCAAUGUGGUAAAGCUUGUAUACAUAGUGGUAACCUCAAAAGACAUGAAAGAACACAUACAGGAGAGAAACUCAAUGAAGGCAUCUAAUGUUAUAAAACCUUUGCAGCAAGCAUUGUUCUCCAAGUAUAUAAGUGAACACAUACCAGAAAGGAACCUUGUAAAUGUAACCAACGUGGUAAAGCUUUUUCGAAAACCAAUCGUCUUUACACACAUAAAAGCACAUAUAGUUGAGAGAAAUGCUUUGACUUCAACCAAUGUAGUUAUACUUUUUCAAAAAGCAGUCAUGAACAAAAUCAUAAAAGAACACAUAUAGGAGAGAGAUUUUUGAAUGUUAGCAAUGUCCUUUUACACCUUAUUCACAAAGCAGUGGUCUCCAAAUAUAUAAAGAAAUACAUACAGGAGAGAAACCCUAUGAAUAUCAUCAAUGUUCUAAAGCCCUUCUACAUCACAAUCAUCUUCAAAUCCGUAAAGAACAUGAGGUGGAAAGAAAUCCUCUGAAUAUCACUAAUUAGGUAAAGUCAUUGUACAAAAGAGUCAUUUCCCAACACAAAAGUAUACACACUGGAUAGAAACCCUAUGAAUAUAAGAAUGUGGUAAACAUUUUAUAAGUCACAGUAGUCUCUAAGUAAAUAAAAGAAGACAGAGUUGAGAGAAACCCUAUGAAAGUUAUCAAAGGGACAAAGCCUUGUACAUAAAGAUCUUCAAAUACAUAAAAGUAGACAGAGGUGAGAAACCCUAUGUCUGUAAUGCAUGUGGCAUUGCCUAUACUUAUGAGUCAUAUUCAAAGACACACACAAAAAUCAUAAUAGAGACAAAAUCCUGUGAGAGUAUUUAAUAUGGUGAAGCUUUUUGAAUAUUUCUAGAGUCUUCACAAUGAAACAAUCCAUACUGCAAAGAAAUUUAGAAAUAUAAUAUGGUGAAACCUUUUCAGAUUUCCCAAAUCUUCAUCAUUAUGAAAGAGAAACCCUAUGAAUGCAUUCAAUAUGGGGAAGUCUUUAAGCAUUUCUAAAUCAUCAUCAUGAAAAUAAUCAUACAAAGGAGACCAAGGGGGAUACAAGAGAUGUUUCUUACUGUCUUGCUUGAGUUAUAGUCCUGACAUCCUUUGGAGAUCAACAGCAAUGUGGAAAGUGUAAACUGGAUUAAACCCUUUCCUCCCCAAGUGUUUCUUGGUCAUGAUGUUUGUGUAGGAAUAGAAGCCCCGACUAAGCCGGGCGUGGUGGUGCACACCUUUAAUUCCAUCACUUGGGAGGCAGAGGCAGGUGGAUUUCUGAGUUCAAGACCAGCCUGGUCUACACAGUGAGUUCCAGGACAGCCAUGGCUACACAGAGAAACCCUCUCGAAAAAUCAAAAAAAAAAAAAAAAAAAAAAAAAAAGAAAAGAAAAGAAACCCUGACUAAGACAAAUUGGUAUCGGGAGUGGGGUAUUCCUGUGACAACCUUACCAUGUUUUGGGAGGACUGUGGAAGGACUUUGGAACUUUGGGCCAGAAGAUCCAUUCGGUGUUCAGAACACUGUGAUGACUCGGUGGGAUGCUGUGUAGGAGCUUGGAAGAUAAUGUUGAGAAUAGUGCAGAAGAUGGAGGCCUGGCUUGUGAAAUUUCACAGGGAAAAUUUAAGACUCUUUUCAGGGCCAUUACUAUUUUGGAUUGUGAAGAUUCUGUGGUUCUGGUUAUCUAGGGCUAAAGAAUCAGCUGUGAUUAACAAGAUACCAGAACUACUAGAGUGAAAACUUUGCAUUGCUGGGAAUAUUGAUGCUAGUUAGCUGGAGCUAAGAAUUUAGCAGUGAUUAAGAAGAGACCAGCAUCAUUGAGGUGGCAUCUUCUGGGAAGUGUUUUCUGAGAGCACAGAGGCAGUGUUCUAGAGAUAGCAAGGUUGUACGUUUUACUGUGGCUUAACUUGUUAAUGUGUAAGUGUUACCCAGGUGGUACUGGUUUUGAAGGCAUGAAGGAAUCAUGCAGAGCAGCCGAGGCCCAGCCCUGUGAGAGGCCAUGCAAUGCCAUUGGUGAAGGUGCAGCCUCAGGUGCAAUUGAUGGCCCAGAAAUUAAGGAGUCAUGCAGUGUUUUGGAG